rnacentral:rRNA from 1 species
AGCGAACGCUGGCGGCAGGCCUAACACAUGCAAGUCGAACGAACUCUUUGGAGUUAGUGGCGGACGGGUGAGUAACACGUGGGAACGUGCCUUUUGGUUCGGAAUAACUCAGGGAAACUUGUGCUAAUACCGAAUGUGCCCUUCGGGGGAAAGAUUUAUCGCCAUUAGAGCGGCCCGCGUCUGAUUAGCUAGUUGGUGAGGUAACGGCUCACCAAGGCGACGAUCAGUAGCUGGUCUGAGAGGAUGACCAGCCACACUGGGACUGAGACACGGCCCAGACUCCUACGGGAGGCAGCAGUGGGGAAUCUUGCGCAAUGGGCGAAAGCCUGACGCAGCCAUGCCGCGUGAAUGAUGAAGGUCUUAGGAUUGUAAAAUUCUUUCACCGGGGACGAUAAUGACGGUACCCGGAGAAGAAGCCCCGGCUAACUUCGUG